rnacentral:rRNA from 1 species
UGAACGCUGGCGGCGUGCCUAAGACAUGCAAGUCGAGCGGUAAUGCCCCUUCGGGGGUACACGAGCGGCGGACGGGUGAGUAACACGUAGGAACGUACCCCAAACUGAGGGAUAAGCACCAGAAAUGGUGUCUAAUACCGCAUGUGCUCUUCGGAGUAAAGCUUCGGCGGUUUGGGAACGGCCUGCGCAUGAUUAGCUUGUUGGUAAGGUAAUGGCUUACCAAGGCGACGAUCAUUAGCUGGUCUGAGAGGAUGACCAGCCACACUGGGACUGAGAUACGGCCCAGACUCCUACGGGAGGCAGCAGUCGGGAAUUUUCCACAAUGGACGAAAGUCUGAUGGAGCAACGCCGCGUGCAGGAUGAAGGCCUUCGGGUUGUAAACUGCUUUUAUCUGUGACGAUAAUGACGGUAGCAGAUGAAUAAGGAUCGGCUAACUCCGUGCCAGCAGCCGCGGUCAUACGGAGGAUCCAAGCGUUAUCCGGAAUUACUGGGCGUAAAGAGUUGCGUAGGUGGCAUUGUAAGCAGGUAGUGAAAGCGUUCGGCUCAACCGGAUAAACAUUAUCUGAACUGCAAAGCUAGAGGACGAGAGAGGUUAUUGGAAUUCCUAGUGUAGGAGUGAAAUCCGUAGAUAUUAGGAGGAACACCGAUGGCGUAGGCAGAUAACUGGCUCGUUCCUGACACUAAGGCACGAAAGCGUGGGUAGCAAACGGGAUUAGAUACCCCGGUAGUCCACGCCGUAAACGAUGGAUGCUAGCUGUAUUCGGUAUCGACCCCGGAUGUAGCGAAGCUAACGCGUUAAGCAUCCCGCCUGUGGAGUACGGUCGCAAGACUAAAACAUAAAGGAAUUGACGGGGACCCGCACAAGCGGUGGAGCGUGUUGUUUAAUUCGAUGGUAAACGAAGAACCUUACCCAGGUUUGACAUCCUUGGAAUUUUUCCGAAAGGAAAAAGUGCUUUUAGAACCAAGUGACAGGUGAUGCAUGGCCGUCGUCAGCUCGUGUCGUGAGAUGUUUGGUUAAGUCCAUCAACGAGCGCAACCCUUGUGAUUAGUUGAAUUUUUCUAAUCAGACUGCCCUGGUAACAGGGAGGAAGGAGGGGAUGAUGUCAGGUCCGUAUUUCCCUUACAUCUGGGGCUACAAACACGCUACAAUGGCCGGUACAAAGGGCAGCCAAGUCGCAAGACGGAGCAAAUCCCAUCAAAACCGGUCCCAGUUCGGAUAGCAGGCUGAAACUCGCCUGCUUG